UACGUAGGGUGCGAGCGUUAAUCGGAAUUACUGGGCGUAAAGGGAGCGUAGGCGGAUAGUUAAGUCAGAGGUGAAAGCCCAGGGCUCAACCUUGGAGUUGCCUUUGAUACUGGCUAUCUUGAGUAUGGGAGAGGUUAGCGGAACUCCGAGUGUAGAGGUGAAAUUCGUAGAUAUUCGGAAGAACACCAGUGGCGAAGGCGGCUAACUGGCCCAUUACUGACGCUGAGGCUCGAAAGCGUGGGGAGCAAACAGG
rnacentral:rRNA from 1 species